AAAUUGAAGAGUUUGAUCAUGGCUCAGAUUGAACGCUGGCGGCAGGCCUAACACAUGCAAGUCGAACGGUAACAGGAAGCAGCUUGCUGCUUUGCUGACGAGUGGCGGACGGGUGAGUAAUGUCUGGGAAACUGCCUGAUGGAGGGGGAUAACUACUGGAAACGGUGGCUAAUACCGCAUAACGUCGCAAGACCAAAGAGGGGGACCUUCGGGCCUCUUGCCAUCAGAUGUGCCCAGAUGGGAUUAGCUUGUUGGUGAGGUAACGGCUCACCAAGGCGACGAUCCCUAGCUGGUCUGAGAGGAUGACCAGCCACACUGGAACUGAGACACGGUCCAGACUCCUACGGGAGGCAGCAGUGGGGAAUAUUGCACAAUGGGCGCAAGCCUGAUGCAGCCAUGCCGCGUGUAUGAAGAAGGCCUUCGGGUUGUAAAGUACUUUCAGCGGGGAGGAAGGUGUUGUGGUUAAUAACCGCAGCAAUUGACGUUACCCGCAGAAGAAGCACCGGCUAACUCCGUGCCAGCAGCCGCGGUAAUACGGAGGGUGCAAGCGUUAAUCGGAAUUACUGGGCGUAAAGCGCACGCAGGCGGUCUGUCAAGUCGGAUGUGAAAUCCCCGGGCUCAACCUGGGAACUGCAUUCGAAACUGGCAGGCUUGAGUCUUGUAGAGGGGGGUAGAAUUCCAGGUGUAGCGGUGAAAUGCGUAGAGAUCUGGAGGAAUACCGGUGGCGAAGGCGGCCCCCUGGACAAAGACUGACGCUCAGGUGCGAAAGCGUGGGGAGCAAACAGGAUUAGAUACCCUGGUAGUCCACGCCGUAAACGAUGUCUACUUGGAGGUUGUGCCCUUGAGGCGUGGCUUCCGGAGCUAACGCGUUAAGUAGACCGCCUGGGGAGUACGGCCGCAAGGUUAAAACUCAAAUGAAUUGACGGGGGCCCGCACAAGCGGUGGAGCAUGUGGUUUAAUUCGAUGCAACGCGAAGAACCUUACCUGGUCUUGACAUCCACGGAAGUUUUCAGAGAUGAGAAUGUGCCUUCGGGAACCGUGAGACAGGUGCUGCAUGGCUGUCGUCAGCUCGUGUUGUGAAAUGUUGGGUUAAGUCCCGCAACGAGCGCAACCCUUAUCCUUUGUUGCCAGCGAUUCGGUCGGGAACUCAAAGGAGACUGCCAGUGAUAAACUGGAGGAAGGUGGGGAUGACGUCAAGUCAUCAUGGCCCUUACGACCAGGGCUACACACGUGCUACAAUGGCGCAUACAAAGAGAAGCGACCUCGCGAGAGCAAGCGGACCUCAUAAAGUGCGUCGUAGUCCGGAUUGGAGUCUGCAACUCGACUCCAUGAAGUCGGAAUCGCUAGUAAUCGUGGAUCAGAAUGCCACGGUGAAUACGUUCCCGGGCCUUGUACACACCGCCCGUCACACCAUGGGAGUGGGUUGCAAAAGAAGUAGGUAGCUUAACCUUCGGGAGGGCGCUUACCACUUUGUGAUUCAUGACUGGGGUGAAGUCGUAACAAGGUAACCGUAGGGGAACCUGCGGUUGGAUCACCUCCUUACCUUAAAGAA
rnacentral:rRNA from 4 species